rnacentral:rRNA from 1 species
GACGAACGCUGGCGGCGUGCUUAACACAUGCAAGUCGAACGGAAAGGCCCUGCUUUUGUGGGGUGCUCGAGUGGCGAACGGGUGAGUAACACGUGAGUAACCUGCCCUUGACUUUGGGAUAACUUCAGGAAACUGGGGCUAAUACCGGAUAGGAGCUCCUGCUGCAUGGUGGGGGUUGGAAAGUUUCGGCGGUUGGGGAUGGACUCGCGGCUUAUCAGCUUGUUGGUGGGGUAGUGGCUUACCAAGGCUUUGACGGGUAGCCGGCCUGAGAGGGUGACCGGCCACAAUGGGACUGAGAUACGGCCCAGACUCCUACGGGAGGCAGCAGUGGGGAAUAUUGCACCAUGGGCGGAAGCCUGAUGCAGCAACGCCGCGUGCGGGAUGACGGCCUUCGGGGUGUAAACCGCUUUCGGCUGUGACGAAGCGUGAGUGACGGUAAUGGGUAAAGAAGCACCGGCUAACUACGUG